UUCCAUGAUGAGGACAAUCUAAGAUGUAUCCUUGUAAACGCUCCCAUGCUUUUUGAAAUGGUUUAUGCUUUCUGCUGUUAAAAAUUGAUAAUCUUCCGUCUUAAGGCA
rnacentral:snoRNA from 1 species